UUGGAGCUGUUGCAGGAUUCAUAAAUAAAAACUCUGGAUUAAAAACUCUCCAUCAGGACCAACUCCUUUCUUCACCUUGCCUUAAAGGCUUUUCCAGCUCAGGAAGGCCUAAGGAGUGACCCCACAUCAACAGCAAGCUCCAGUCCGCAAGCUCUGGAGCUCGGGGCAUGCCCAGACUUGUCUCCACGUGCCCAGCUGUGACCACAGAAGUUUGGAUAUAUUCUUUCAAAAAGCUUUCUUUCUAAGCUUCAAUCAGGCCAGGAACUAUUCCGUGAUUCGUGCCUGCCCCAUUGGAAUACGUGAUGUCUGUCAAAAGCACGGUGAGAAAGCAUGGGAAGGUGGUGAUAGGAUAAGCGACGUGGUGACCUCUCAUCUCUUACGUAGAUCCCAGUUGUCAUGCAGCAUUAAAAGCUCCUUCAUGGGAGUCCUGGACUGGCCACAAACCCUCCUGGAGCAUUGAAGAGCCUGUGGAUAUAUCAAAGGAAGAGUCUGACAGGAAUAUACAUUACUGUGGGGAAAAGUUAUGACAAAAUUAGUGCUAGAGUUAGGCAUCCUAUGAGCAUUUCACAAAUUCAAAUGACCAUCUUCCCACUCUGCAGGCUCUCUUUAGCUUGUGAUCACAGGCGUGGUAGGUGAGAGAUGCUGUAUUUAUAGCUUGAAAGUUGAUUACAUGGGGAUGUGCCUCACAAAUGGCACAUCUGCUAAAAGAGUUGUGUUCUUAAGCUGAAAAUGUAAAUACUUUAAUAAAAGGGAAAUAAAAAGAAGUGCAUAGAUGUUGGCAGCAUUUUCCACCCACCCUGUCUGAAUGUAACUUACAUUUUCACUCAUUUGCUGGGGUUUUGUAUCAAGCAGGCAAUCUUGAGCUUGAAGACUGCUGAAGUCACUGGUGUGUUACCCAUACUCCUUCUCUCCUAAGACUUGCUCUUCAAGCCUGUUCUUUCAUCUCAAAAGGAAAAUAAAGUAGGUAUUCAGAGGCGGAAG